UACGGGGGGGGGCAAGCGUUGUUCGGAAUUACUGGGCGUAAAGAGCGCGCAGGCGGUCGUGCAAGUCGCGUGUGAAAGCCCCCGGCUCAACUGGGGAGGGUCACGCGAUACUGCUCGACUCGAAGGCAGGAGAGGGAAGUGGAAUUCCCGGUGUAGUGGUGAAAUGCGUAGAUAUCGGGAGGAACACCAGUGGCGAAGGCGACUUCCUGGCCUGUUCUUGACGCUGAGGCGCGAAAGCUAGGGUAGCAAACGGG
rnacentral:rRNA from 1 species